rnacentral:snRNA from 1 species
CAAAUCUAUUGAGUUGUUCUAAG